rnacentral:rRNA from 1 species
GCGGAAGAUGUAACGGGGCUAAACCAUGCACCGAAGCUGCGGCAGCGACACUAUGUGUUGUUGGGUAGGGGAGCGUUCUGUAAGCCUGUGAAGGUGUGCUGUGAGGCAUGCUGGAGGUAUCAGAAGUGCGAAUGCUGACAUAAGUAACGAUAAAGCGGGUGAAAAGCCCGCUCGCCGGAAGACCAAGGGUUCCUGUCCAACGUUAAUCGGGGCAGGGUGAGUCGACCCCUAAGGCGAGGCCGAAAGGCGUAGUCGAUGGGAAACAGGUUAAUAUUCCUGUACUUGGUGUUACUGCGAAGGGGGGACGGAGAAGGCUAUGUUGGCCGGGCGACGGUUGUCCCGGUUUAAGCGUGUAGGCUGGUUUUCCAGGCAAAUCCGGAAAAUCAAGGCUGAGGCGUGAUGACGAGGCACUACGGUGCUGAAGCAACAAAUGCCCUGCUUCCAGGAAAAGCCUCUAAGCAUCAGGUAACAUCAAAUCGUACCCCAAACCGACACAGGUGGUCAGGUAGAGAAUACCAAGGCGCUUGAGAGAACUCGGGUGAAGGAACUAGGCAAAAUGGUGCCGUAACUUCGGGAGAAGGCACGCUGAUAUGUAGGUGAAGUCCCUCGCGGAUGGAGCUGAAAUCAGUCGAAGAUACCAGCUGGCUGCAACUGUUUAUUAAAAACACAGCACUGUGCAAACACGAAAGUGGACGUAUACGGUGUGACGCCUGCCCGGUGC